AAUCCAUAGGUUAAUGAGGCGAACCGGGGGAACUGAAACAUCUAAGUACCCCGAGGAAAAGAAAUCAACCGAGAUUCCCCCAGUAGCGGCGAGCGAACGGGGAGGAGCCCAGAGCCUGAAUCAGCAUGUGUGUUAGUGGAAGCGUCUGGAAAGGCGCGCGAUACAGGGUGACAGCCCCGUACACAAAAGCGCAUGUGCUGUGAGCUCGAUGAGUAGGGCGGGACACGUGGUAUCCUGUCUGAAUAUGGGGGGACCAUCCUCCAAGGCUAAAUACUCCUGACUGACCGAUAGUGAACCAGUACCGUGAGGGAAAGGCGAAAAGAACCCCGGCGAGGGGAGUGAAAAAGAACCUGAAACCGUGUACGUACAAGCAGUGGGAGCACAGGUUUACCUGUGUGACUGCGUACCUUUUGUAUAAUGGGUCAGCGACUUAUAUUCUGUAGC
rnacentral:rRNA from 1 species